GUCAUCAGGAGGCAUUAGCUGGCUGGUGUCUGUAGCUUCUUUGAGUUGGUAUUAGGGGAUUUGGUCUGCUGUCCAGAGGUGCCAUGGUUCUUCCCCAUGUCUACAGAAUGAAUGUUGCAUAUCAGAGCUGGCAUCUUUGUUAGUCUGAACAGAGAGCGAGGAUUAAAUAGGCCUAACAGCUGAGGGGAUUUUCAAAGGCAUGAGUGGUAUUUACACAUGUAUCUUCUGCUGGUUUCUGUUGGUUUUCCAGACUUGCUUUCAGAUUCCUGGUUUGAUGUAGGUCUGUCAUCCCACUGCUCUACUUGACCCUGUUACGGACAAGCUACUUAUGGGCGUUUGAUGGAGAUUUGGGGAAAUUUUCAGAGAUACAAAUGUCAACACCCAAGUUACAUCGAUGAGAUGGAGAAGCCCAUUCUUGAGGCUUGAGGAGUUAAUAGAGAACCAUCCUGGAGAAGGUUCUGUUUUGUCAUUCGUUGUGUGACAACCUUGGAGAUGAAAGACUCGCAUGGAGAGUGGUACGUUGUGCAUUAGGAUCGGCAGAUAUCUUCUGGGAUCUGAACAGUGAAGGACUAUUUGAGAUGUGCACUCUAUGCUUGUCAAAGAGAAGUAAGUGCUGCGAUAAAAAUAGAAUAUUCAAACUCCCCUCAGCCUGGGUAGAAGGAGGACUUCACCUUUAUGCAAGAAGACCUGCUUAAUCUGAAAGUUCUCCUAGAAAGGGUUUUAAGGGCAGCCGUCCAUUUCUGUGCAGGAACAGACAUAUGUUAAAGGCUGUCAUGCUGCUGCAGAAGCAAACCAGUGAGCUCAUGGGCUGCCUCUGCCAAUGGUUAAGGUCAGCUACUGGAAAAAAUUACAA